ACAUUACAUAAAUCUCUUCUUGCAGAUCACCAGGGCUGCUCAGCAUGUUUUGUGCUCACAAAAGAGUUAAGAACUAGGCUUGGCAACUACAGAAAUCUGCUUAAUUUUUCCAUUCCUGCACACAGUAAUAAUUUUCACUGAACAGCUUCUACUUUCUGCAAUAAUUUGUCCUUAAACAACUGUUUGCUUUAGACACUUGCUUGAAUUCAGCUUGCUCAUUCUUUCACUUGCUCGGCAUCCCUUGCUUUGCUCAAAUUACCUUUGGGCAGAGACAGGAAAAUAAUAUUUUUUCUGGACAGCCGUGUCGAUGUGUGACUUUCCAGCCACAGGGAGAGAAGCAAGAACUGAAGGCCACAGCCUGAAAGUAGAAGCUGAAACCAUUGCUCUGCUCUUGCUCCACAACGUUGUCAGCAGAGCGCUGACAAGGAGAGCAGCAAGGAGCGUUGACUCAACCAGCAAAAGGGGUUUGUGAGCAAACAACAACAUACGCACGGGGUCAGAGGACAGGGACAUGAGGUGCUGCCCCAGAACCAAGGGACAAGCACGGAGCCAGUAUGAGUGCGGCCAGAAGCUCUCCUUGCCACCGCUCCUCACUGGCUGUGACGGUGCUGGCUGGGGGCCGAGGCAGAGCCACGGGAGCUGCGUGCGGGUGAACCGAUGGGCAGCAGCAGAAGCACCGUGCCUGCAAGGCUCUGCACACUGAGCAAAAAGGGGGCAAUGCCCGCACCCCUCCUUGCGCACACCGUGUGACGAUGCCCCAGCAGGGUGCCGCGUGGGGCGGUGCUGCCGGUCCGCCCUGGAGCAAGAGACGUCUCUCGUGCCUCUGGAACACCGCAGUACCGGAGCUCAGGCACCCAGCCUCCCGGGACGAGGCAGGCAGGGGUGCAGCAGCGCGGCGCUGGAGCGAGCUCUGCUUGCUGCUGAUGCUGUGGGAGCUGGGUGCAGCCCGGCAGGAGCUGUCACAGCAUCUCAGUUCAGAGCAGGUCUUAAUGCCUUUAUGAGGGCUCUGCCUUCACAAGUGGCUGCGGAGGAGGAGCACGUAUGGGUGUCCGGCUGCGGCUGUGAGUGUUCACACACAGAAAAAAUAAAACCUUUGAAGUAAAGGAUUACGAAAGAAGC
rnacentral:lncRNA from 1 species